UUCGUCCUUUGAGAAAGCUUUAUGGCUGUCAUGUGAAUGAGUUUUAACCCUUUGGUUUUUCUUGUUAGAAAAACCAGUGAACAUGAAGAGCAGAAUAUAGAGGAUCAUUCUUAUUGGAGGUUGAAGGCAACAAGGCUGAGAGGAAUGUGGAGGCUGUGUGAAUCCUGAGGUUUCAGAGAGAAAUAAGGACUCUAUCAACAUCCAUUAUAAGGUGCCAUGGAAACACCAUGUAAUGAAAUCUAUGCCUGUCUACUUCAAGGGAAAUACAGCAAAUUCACUCUUCAGGUGCUUUCCAGAGAAAAAUAUAUGUGGGUCUCCAAUGUAUUUCCAUAUACAACAAGAGGAAGCUUCUAUGGUGAUGCCUGAUCAAGACACUGAUUUAUAAUGGUCAACUCACCAAUGAGGAAAAAUCUUUCCUGAGUCUACUGAUCAAAAUGCUAAGCUCCAUGGAAGAACCCUCAAAGAUCUAUCCAGCAAUGCUUUACCAGUUAUUUGAAAAUUUCACAGCUCACUAGGGUUCAUGUCAUCACAAAGCCUUUGCUGAGAGCAAAACUGUGAGGAAAGUCAUCCAUCGGACUCCUGACAGCCUCUGUUUGAGGGCUAACACCUGAGA